CAUGGUUGUCGUCAGCUCGUGUCGUGAGAUGUUGGUUAAGUCCCGCAACGAGCGCAACCCUACUUGCUAGUUACCAUCAUUAAGUUGGGGACUCUAGCGAGACUGCCAGUGAUAAACUGGAGGAAGGUGGGGAUGACGUCAAAUCAUCAUGCCCCUUAUGACCUGGGCUACAAACGUGAUACAAUGGCUGGAACAAAGGGAUGCGAAGCAGUGAUGUGGAGCGAAACCCAUAAAAACAGUCUCAGUUCGGAUUGAAGUCUGCAACUCGACUUCAUGAAGUCGGAAUCGCUAGUAAUCGCGGAUCAGAACGCCGCGGUGAAUACGUUCUCGGGGUUU
rnacentral:rRNA from 1 species